UCAAGAGUCUGCGCCAAAAGUGCAGCUCGCCUCUCACCCUUGCUUAUACGCACCUUUUGUUGUUUCCUCGGCGGGGCUUCCCCCUGCCGGUGGGACGCUCAUUUAAACCUUUCGCAUUAGCAUAAAACUUCUGAACAUAACCUAAAUAUUUA
rnacentral:misc_RNA from 1 species